rnacentral:lncRNA from 1 species
GGUUAAUUUUGUAACAAGCUUAAAGCUUAGUAAGCUUUAGCUUGAGGGGGAGUGUUAGAAUAUAGAAAAUAUUAUAUUAUUUGUUGAGAAAAUAUCUCUAUGAUUUGGUUUGUUUAUUCUUAGCCCUAUAUAAUAAAGGGAUUUAGUUUAGAUUUAAGUUUAUUCACUUGGUUAUAAAUACCAAGGUAGUCAUACUAUUUUAUUAAUGUAAAUAGUAAUGUAAAUAUUGUAAUUAGGGUUAUUGA